rnacentral:tRNA from 1 species
GGUAAAAUGGCUGAGUUUAGGCGGUAUAUUGUAAAUAUAUUAACAAAAGUUUACUUUUUUUUAUCA